GUUUUGUUUGGAGUUCUUUGGGAUUUUUUUGGGGAUUCUUUGAGAGAUUUUUUUUUGUUAUUUUGGGGUUUUUUUAGGGUUUUUUUGGGGGGUUUUGUUGGGUUUUUUGGGGAAUUUUUUUGUUUUUUUGUGGGAUUUUUGGUGGGAUGUUUUAUUUGUGUUUUUGUGGAUUUUUUUGGGGUGUUUUUUGGGGUUUUUUGGGGUGUCCUGACCCCCCUCCUGACCCCCCCAGAUCCGCAUUGACAAACUGGUGGACAAAUGGUCGGGAUCCAUCGAGAUCGGGGUCACCGCCCACAACCCCAACAGCCUCGAGUACCCGGCCACCAUGACCAACCUGCGCUCAGGGACGAUCAUGAUGAGCGGCUGCGGGAUCCUGACCAACGGCAAAGGGACGCGCCGGGAGUACUGCGAGUUCAGCCUGGACGAGCUGCAGGUGAGCCCCAAAAUCCCCCCAAAUCACCCCAAAAUUCACCCUCGGGACCCCCAAAAUCAGCUCCGGGCGCCCCAAAAUCGGGGGGAGUUUGGGACACCCCAAAAUCCCAAAAAUUCCCCCAAAAAAUUCGAUUUAUGGAUCAGAAAUUGGGAUGAUUUCACGGAUUUUUCUAUUUUUUAACUCUAAAAUCUCCCCAAAAUCCACCCAAAUCACCCCAAAAUUCACCCUCGGGACCCCCAAAAUCGGCAAAAUCCACCCCAAAAUCGGGGGGAGUUUGGGACACCCCAAAAUCCCAAAAAUCCCUAAAAAAUCCCCCAAAAAAUUCGAUUUAUGGAUCAGAAAUUGGGGUGAUUUCAUGGAUUUUUCUAUUUUUUAACUCUAAAAUCUCCCCAAAAUCCACCCAAAAUCCACCCAAAAUCCACCCAAAAUUCACCCAAAAUCCACCCAAAAUUCACCCAAAAUUACCCCAAAAUCCGCCCAAAUCCACCCAAAAUCCACCCAAAAUUCACCCAAAAUCCACCCAAAAUUCACCCAAAAUCCACCCAAAAUUCACCCAAAAUUCACCCAAAAUCCACCCAAAAUUAACCUAAAAUCCACCCAAAAUUCACCCAAAUCCACCCAAAAUCCACCCAAAUCCACCCAAAAUUCACCCAAAAUUCACCCAAAAUCCACCCCAAAUUAACCCAAAUUCACCCAAAAUCACCCCAAAUCACCCCAAAAUUCACCCUCGGGACCCCCAAAAUCAGCUCCGGGCGCCCCAAAAUCGGGGGGAGUUCGGGACACUCCAAAAUCCAAAAAAAUCCCCCAAAAAAUUCGAUUUAUGGAUCAGAAAUUGGGAUGAUUUCACGGAUUUUUUUUUUAUUUUUGAGUCUUAAAAUUCACCCAAAUCCACCCAAAAUCCACCCAAAAUCCACCCAAAAUUCACCCAAAAUCCACCCAAAAUUCACCCAAAAUUCACCCAAAAUCCACGCAAAAUUCAAUCAAAAUCCACGCAAAAUUUACCCAAAAUCCACCCAAAAUUCACCCAAAAUUCACCCUCGGGACCCCCAAAAUCAGCUCCGGGCGCCCCAAAAUCGGGGGGAGUUCGGGACACCCCAAAAUCCCAAAAAUCCCUAAAAAAUCCCCCCAAAAAUUCCAUUUAUGGUUCAGAAAUUG
rnacentral:lncRNA from 1 species